UACGUAGGGUGCGAGCGUUGUCCGGAAUUAUUGGGCGUAAAGAGCUCGUAGGCGGUUUGUCGCGUCGGCCGUGAAAACUUGGGGCUUAACCCCAAGCCUGCGGUCGAUACGGGCAGACUUGAGUUCGGCAGGGGAGACUGGAAUUCCUGGUGUAGCGGUGAAAUGCGUAGAUAUCUGGAGGAACACCGGUGGCGAAGGCGGCAUCCUGGACCGGCAUUGACGCUGAGGCGCGAAAGCCAGGGGAGCAAACGGG
rnacentral:rRNA from 1 species